rnacentral:lncRNA from 1 species
UUCUCUAAACAUCCCCCUAUCCCAUCCCAACCCAAAACCAGUCACCAUCGACCACCAUCCCUAAUACACACGACGCCGCACCACCCACUGCAGCCACCAUAAAUGCAACCACCUACAAAAUUAAUUUUUGGUAUGUCUUAACUAUAUGCCUACUAGAGAGCAAUUAAUUUUUGCUCAAUUUUUCCCACCAAAACUCAGUGAUUUUUGUAAUUCAAUUCCACCAUCUCUAUUUUGGGUCUUAAAUUUUUUUCUCGAAGUUGAUGAGAAGCUGCUUGUCAACAGCACCACCUUUAGGAGAACUAAUGGAAACGAGGGCAAGGCAAGUUAGCUUUUUCUUCGAUAUGAUCGAUUUACCCCUAUUAUUUUGGAUUGAAGGCAGAUCUUCCAAUGAACACCCUUUUUCUGGCUUUGAUACCAUUCUUAAUUUCAUUUGGCAUUGGGUUCUUGGUGCAGUACGAUGUUGUGCGGUGUGGCAGUGGCGAUGACGAACGGGUGGUACUGUAAUGACGACAAUGGGUUUGCAGUGGUCGGAGUGAUUUGGUUUGGUUUUUGUUUUUUUUUUUUUUUAUUUUGGGGAUGGAGAGUGAGAUGUUUGGAGAAGAAUAAGUACUUG